UCGAGCGAGUCUGCCUUGAAGAUCGGAGUGCUUGCACUCUGUGAAACAAGAUACAGGCUAGCGGCGGACGGGUGAGUAACACGUGGGUAACCUGCCCAAGAGAUCGGGAUAACACCUGGAAACAGAUGCUAAUACCGGAUAAUAACAGAUGAUGCCUAUCAACUGUUUAAAAGAUGGUUCUGCUAUCACUCUUGGAUGGACCUGCGGUGCAUUAGCUAGUUGGUAGGGUAACGGCCUACCAAGGCGAUGAUGCAUAGCCGAGUUGAGAGACUGAUCGGCCACAUUGGGACUGAGACACGGCCCAAACUCCUACGGGAGGCAGCAGUAGGGAAUCUUCCACAAUGGACGCAAGUCUGAUGGAGCAACGCCUCGUGAGUGAAGAAGGGUUUCGGCUCGUAAAGCUCUGUUGUUGGUGAAGAAGGACAGGGGUAGUAACUGACCUUUGUUUGACGGUAAUCAAUUAGAAAGUCACGGCUAACUACGUGCCAGCAGCCGCGGUAAUACGUAGGUGGCAAGCGUUGUCCGGAUUUAUUGGGCGUAAAGCGAGUGCAGGCGGUUCGAUAAGUCUGAUGUGAAAGCCUUCGGCUCAACCGGAGAAUUGCAUCAGAAACUGUCGAGCUUGAGUACAGAAGAGGAGAGUGGAACUCCAUGUGUAGCGGUGAAAUGCGUAGAUAUAUGGAAGAACACCGGUGGCGAANGCGGCUCUCUGGUCUGUU
rnacentral:rRNA from 1 species